rnacentral:lncRNA from 1 species
AUGAAGAAACUCCACAUCUCCAUUCAGUUCCUCAGAGUUACAGUUCACCCGCUGUCUGUUCCCGCUGGAGGGUCAGAGGAACUGCUUGGACAGCACGUCCAUGUCCAGCACACCUGGCUCUUCUACGACCGCCACCUCAAUGUGACUGGCCAUUUUCUGGGCCACUGGCUGGACAUCAUCGCCGUUGUGGACAGCCUCCUGAACUACGCCGCCGCUGCCUUUUGCGCGGAUUUUCUUCGCCUGCGUCGCCGCUGGCUCUGCGGUCGGCCUCCUCAAAUGUAUUUUGGAUUGCUGUUGACCUCCAGGCCAGCCCCCUGAACCUUUUCUGAACAUUUUCCUGGGCCCCUGCGCCUUUCAUGGACUUUUUUGUUUGUUUCAUUUUGAACUGUUUCCUGGGCCUCAGUGCUGUUGUAGAUGCUCUGUUUUGGACUCUUGUUCCCUGUUUUUGAAGUCUGGCUCCGUGUUUUUUGUUUCUUUUUGGUCCCUCUGUCCUGGACCCUACCCGCCCGCCCUGGUCGGGUUGUUUUUGUUUCUUUUUUUCUGGUUUGGGCUGUCGGGAGCCAGCCCAAACCAGGGUACUGUUAGGAGACCUGGGUCAUUGACCCAGAGUUUUGAGUUUUCUUUACUAUUGUACUUUGAUUUGGCCAUUAUUUAUUGUUUCUAGUCUUUUCGUUUCUUUGUUGAUGUUCUGCUUUCUGGUUUCUGUCUGUGUUCCUUAGUUGCUCUGUCUCCCCUGUCUGCUGUGUCCCCUUGUCAAGUCCAUGUUAUGUUUCCUGUUUUACCUUGAAAGUCCAUGUCUCAUGUUAAUGUAUCUGGUUUUGCUUCCCUUGUCCCGUUAGCCCUGAUUUGCCCCAGCUGUGUUUCCCUCCUGUUUCCCAGUCCCUGAUUGCUCCCUCUGUGUAUUUAAGCCCUGUGUUUUCAUUUGUCUGUGUUGUGGUCUGCUAUCUACUAUGCUGUUUGUUCUGCUUGGCUGCCUGUUUAUGCUUAGGUUAUGUUUUCCAGUUUAGUUAGUUUUCUGUUCCUUUCUGCUAUCCAUCAAAAAAGCUGAGUUUUGGAGUUUACGUUUGCCUCAGAGUCUGUACUUUUGGGUCUAUCAUUCCUCCACUCCUGCCUGCACACAGCCUUCACAUGACAAAACAUCAUGGCCUCAUCCAAGUGAUCAUUCUCCAACAUGCAAUUAAAAACCUGGUUACAUCUACCAUGCCACAUAAGAGACACACAGAGCUACUGUUAAUGAAUAUAUUUUCAGCCACUGAACUCUUUGGAUAUCAGUGGCCUUUAUGAGAAAAUGUAUCUGUUAAGUUAUAAAAAAGUUAAAGUUUAACACUGUCAGUAAUUUACAAUUACAUUAAUACAUUUGGUACAACAAGGAUUUUGAUGAAGUUGUAUGCUUUGCUAACUGGACCCAGUAAAAUUAUUUAAAUAUUUGGCUAUUUUCUAGUGUGCUGUGCUCAUAGGACCUCUCUCUCUCUCUUUCUCCCUUUCUCUCCCUCUCUCUAUGUCUCUCUCUCACACACACAAACACACAUUUGCACAUUUGGCUAAGCUACCAGUUUUAAUGUAAUGAUAGAUUUAUUAAAUGUUUGACUCGUAUUUGCAUAUUUUCUGAGUGGCAGCAGGACACUGAAAGAGAGCCUUCUACUGCUAACCCUUCCUUAAAUGUAAGUUAUAGUUUUGUGUUGAUACUUUCAUGUUAAAACUAUGAAAAAACUAUGAAAGAUUAUAUUUAUAAGUAAACCAAAAGGUGAACCAUGACAUCACAUUUGUUUCAGUGAAUAUUAACUUUGUUCAAUUGUUAUUUUCAUCAAGUUUUUAUUACAACUAUAACCAUUUUAAUUGUUAUCAGUAAUUAUAAUAAGCAAAAAGCCUGGUCAUUGCUGUGAGGGUUUAGAAAGAGUGUGUCACUGUUUGUGUAACUGUGCUGCUCUUACAGAAGGUAAAUGUAAAGAUGUUGAUUUUCUGUACUGACUGCCGGUCUUCAUCCAAUGAAAAACACCUGUAGACUGGAAAAAAUUAGUUUUCUUAAAACCACUUUAGUCGGGAUGUUAAUUAUUCUUAUAUGAAAAGGAACACAAACCAGCAGCCUGCAUGUUAUUACUGACCUGCUCUAACCUUGAGUAUCUGACUCAAUCAGGUUGUCAUCCUGUUAUUUCUGACUGCCCACGCAGACACAGCAAGCUCUUCCCUCAAAACACUUUUUUAAAAAAUGGGGGUUUUUUUGGCUUGACAAUAGGAUGAGAUUUACAACUGACAAUAUUAAAUCUAAAAAGUAUAUGUGAAGCUGCCAGAAACAAAGAAGUCAAAUAAGCAAUAUGUGCGUCCAAUAAAUUCCAAGGCUGUAUAAUUCAUUACCACUAGAGGGAGACAUUGUGUAAAGAAACAAACAAACAAACAAAAAACAACCCUGUGAUCGUUGUUGUUCUGUUACUUUGAUGUUCAGAUUUUAAAAUCAAAUAAUAAAACCUCUACCUCUGUUUAGUUUAACUGUAAUCGGGUAUAUUAUAUAAAACUUUAUUUCUUCAUUAAAAGAUAUGCAUACAUUCUUAAGAUUUGCACUUACAUUUUCAGUGCU